AGUGAACGCUGGCGGUAGGCCUAACACAUGCAAGUCGAACGGCAGCACAGUAAGAGCUUGCUCUUACGGGUGGCGAGUGGCGUACGGGUGAGGAAUACAUCGGAAUCUACUUUUUCGUGGGGGAUAACGUAGGGAAACUUACGCUAAUACCGCAUACGACCUACGGGUGAAAGCAGGGGAUCUUCGGACCUUGCUCGAUUGAAUGAGCCGAUGUCGGAUUAGCUAGUUGGCGGGGUAAAGGCCCACCAAGGCGACGAUCCGUAGCUGGUCUGAGAGGAUGACCAGCCACACGGGAACUAGGACACGGUCCAGACUCCUACGGGAGGCAGCAGUGGGGAAUAUUGGACAAAGGGCGCAAGCCUGAUCCAGCCAUACCGCGUGGGUGAAGAAGUCCUUCGGGUUGUAAAGCCCUUUUUUUGGGAAAGAAAAGCAGCAGGUUAAUACCCCGCUGUUCUGACGGUACCCAAAGAAUAAGCACCGGCUAACUUCGUG
rnacentral:rRNA from 1 species